UACGUAGGUGGCAAGCGUUAUCCGGAAUUAUUGGGCGUAAAGCGCUCGCAGGCGGUUUCUUAAGUCUGAUGUGAAAGCCCACGGCUCAACCGUGGAGGGUCAUUGGGAACUGGGAGACUUGAGUGCAGAAGAGGAGAGUGGAAUUCCACGUGUAGCGGUGAAAUGCGUAGAGAUGUGGAGGAACACCAGUGGCGAAGGCGACUCUCUGGUCUGUAACUGACGCUGAGGAGCGAAAGCUAGGGGAGCAAACGGG
rnacentral:rRNA from 1 species